AGUGAACGCUGGCGGCAGGCUUAACACAUGCAAGUCGAACGCACCGCAAGGGGAGUGGCAGACGGGUGAGUAACGCGUGGGGACCUUCACUUUGGUUCAGGAUAGCUCCGGGAAACGGGAAUUAAAACUGGGUAAGAGCUACGGAAGAAAGAUUUAUCGCCGAAGGAUGGGCACGCGUAAGAUUAGCUAGUUGGUGAGGUAAUGGCUCACCAAGGCAAUGAUCUUUAGCUGGUCUGAGAGGAUGAUCAGCCACACUGGAACUGAGACACGGUCCAGACUCCUACGGGAGGCAGCGGUGAGGAAUAUUGGACAAUGAGCGCAAGCCUGAUCCAGCCAUGCCGCGUGAGUGAUGAAGGCCUUAGGGUUGUAAAACUCUUUUAGGAGGGAAAAUAAUGACGGUACCUAAAGAAAAAGCUCCGGCUAACUUCGUGCCAGCCGCCGCCGUAA
rnacentral:rRNA from 1 species